CACGUAGGUAAUCUACCUUUGGAUGGGGAAUAACAACCGGAAACGGUUGCUAAUACCGCAUAAUGCAGCGGCACCUAAUGGUGACAGUUGUUAAAGCGGGGGAUCGAAAGACCUCGCGUCUGAAGAGGAGCCUGCGGCGGAUUAGCUAGUUGGUAAGGUAAUGGCUUACCAAGGCUAUGAUCCGUAACCGGCCUGAGAGGGCGGUCGGUCACACUGACACUGACAUACGGGUCAGACUCCUACGGGAGGCAGCAGUCGGGAAUUUUGGGCAAUGGGCGAAAGCCUGACCCAGCAACGCCG
rnacentral:rRNA from 1 species